CAGUCGCCGCGGUAAUACAGAGGGUGCGAGCGUUAAUCGGAUUUACUGGGCGUAAAGCGUGCGUAGGCGGCUAAUUGAGUCGGAUGUGAAAUCCCCGAGCUUAACUUGGGAAUUGCAUUCGAUACUGGUUAGCUAGAGUGUGGGAGAGGAUGGUAGAAUUCCAGGUGUAGCGGUGAAAUGCGUAGAGAUCUGGAGGAAUACCGAUGGCGAAGGCAGCCAUCUGGCCUAACACUGACGCUGAGGUACGAAAGCAUGGGGAGCAAACAGGAUUAGAUACCCCCGUAGUUCCUGUCUCUUAUAC
rnacentral:rRNA from 1 species